GUGGUCAUCACUGAGCAGUGUUCAACACUCAGCAUGGAGAUGAGACUAAGCUGGGUUUUCCUUGUUGCGCUUUUACAAGGUGUCCAAUGUGAGGUGCAGCUGGUGGAGUCGGGGGGAGGCUUGAUGCAUCCUGGAAAUUCCCUGAAACUCUCUUGUGCAGCCUCUGGAUUCACCUUCAGUGGUUACUACAUGCACUGGGUCCGCCAGGCUCCAGGGAAGGGGCUGGAGUGGAUUGGUGUAACUAAACAUAAAUAUAAUAAUUAUGCAACAGACUAUGCGGAUUCCGUGAAAGGCAGAUUCACCAUCUCAAGAGACGACUCCAAAAGCAGCCUCUACCUGCAAAUGAACAGCUUAAGAGCCGAGGACACAGCCAUUUAUUACUGUGCUGCAGACACAGUGAGAGGACUUCAGUUUAAACCCUGACACAAACCUCCCUGCAGGAGCGCUCAGGACCAGCAGGGGGCACACUGCGCACAUGGAAAACCAGCACAUUGCAGGAACAGGUGCAGAUGUAACUGA